AUAACCAUGAGACCGAUAGUAAACAAGUACCGUGAGGGAAAGUUGAAAAGAACUCUGAAUAGAGAGUUAAAUAGUACGUGAAACUGCUUAGAGGUUAAGCCCGAUGAACCUGAAUAUCCAAUAUAGAAAAUUCAUCAUUAUGACUCUAAUAUUUUUAAAUAUUAUAAUAAUAGUGUGCAUUUUUUCUAUAGAGGACAUUGUAAUCUAUUGAUAUAAAAGAAAUUUAUUAUAAGAUCGAUUGCGCAAGUUU
rnacentral:rRNA from 1 species